GAUGAACGCUAGCUACAGGCUUAACACAUGCAAGUCGAGGGACCGGCGCACGGGUGAGUAACACGUAUCCAACCUGCCCUUUACUCGGGGAUAGCCUUUCGAAAGAAAGAUUAAUACCCGAUAUAAAGGAUGGGGAUGCGUUCCCUUAGGUUGUUGGUGAGGUAACGGCUCACCAAGCCUUCGAUGGAUAGGGGUUCUGAGAGGACCUUCCCCCACAUUGGAACUGAGACACGCUACCCCCUCCUCCUUUCUUCAUCCUUUUACCCUAUUCGUCAAGUGGCGGUAUCCUUAACCAGCCAAGUAGCGUGAAUUCUUAAUCCUUCUCUGUCGUAAACUUCUUUUAUAUAAGAAUAUGUAUUAUAUGAAUAAGGAUCGGCUAACUCCGUGCCAGCAGCCGCGGUAAUAC
rnacentral:rRNA from 1 species